UACGUAGGGGGCUAGCGUUGUCCGGAAUCACUGGGCGUAAAGCGCACGUAGGCGGAUUGUUAAGUCAGGGGUGAAAUCCUGGAGCUCAACUCCAGAACUGCCUUUGAUACUGGCGAUCUUGAGUCCGGGAGAGGUGAGUGGAACUGCGAGUGUAGAGGUGAAAUUCGUAGAUAUUCGCAAGAACACCAGUGGCGAAGGCGGCUCACUGGCCCGGUACUGACGCUGAGGUGCGAAAGCGUGGGGAGCAAACAGG
rnacentral:rRNA from 1 species